rnacentral:rRNA from 1 species
UACGUAGGGGGCAAGCGUUGUCCGGAUUUAUUGGGCGUAAAGAGCGUGUAGGCGGCUAUACAGGUCCGUUGUGAAAACUCGAGGCUCAACCUCGAGACGCCGAUGGAAACCGUAUGGCUAGAGUCCGGAAGAGGAGAGCGGAAUUCCUGGUGUAGCGGUGAAAUGCGCAGAUAUCAGGAAGAACACCCGUGGCGAAGGCGGCUCUCUGGGCCGAUACUGACGCUGAGGAGCGAAAGCGUGGGGAGCGAACAGG